rnacentral:rRNA from 1 species
UGCAGUCGAGCGGUAGCACAGAGAGCUUGCUCUCGGGUGACGAGCGGCGGACGGGUGAGUAAUGUCUGGGAAACUGCCUGAUGGAGGGGGAUAACUACUGGAAACGGUAGCUAAUACCGCAUAACGUCGCAAGACCAAAGUGGGGGACCUUCGGGCCUCAUGCCAUCAGAUGUGCCCAGAUGGGAUUAGCUAGUAGGUGGGGUAACGGCUCACCUAGGCGACGAUCCCUAGCUGGUCUGAGAGGAUGACCAGCCACACUGGAACUGAGACACGGUCCAGACUCCUACGGGAGGCAGCAGUGGGGAAUAUUGCACAAUGGGCGCAAGCCUGAUGCAGCCAUGCCGCGUGUGUGAAGAAGGCCUUCGGGUUGUAAAGCACUUUCAGCGGGGAGGAAGGCGGUGAGGUUAAUAACCUUGUCGAUUGACGUUACCCGCAGAAGAAGCACCGGCUAACUCCGUGCCAGCAGCCGCGGUAAUACGGAGGGUGCAAGCGUUAAUCGGAAUUACUGGGCGUAAAGCGCACGCAGGCGGUCUGUCAAGUCGGAUGUGAAAUCCCCGGGCUCAACCUGGGAACUGCAUUCGAAACUGGCAGGCUAGAGUCUUGUAGAGGGGGGUAGAAUUCCAGGUGUAGCGGUGAAAUGCGUAGAGAUCUGGAGGAAUACCGGUGGCGAAGGCGGCCCCCUGGACAAAGACUGACGCUCAGGUGCGAAAGCGUGGGGAGCAAACAGGAUUAGAUACCCUGGUAGUCCACGCUGUAAACGAUGUCGAUUUGGAGGUUGUGCCCUUGAGGCGUGGCUUCCGGAGCUAACGCGUUAAAUCGACCGCCUGGGGAGUACGGCCGCAAGGUUAAAACUCAAAUGAAUUGACGGGGGCCCGCACAAGCGGUGGAGCAUGUGGUUUAAUUCGAUGCAACGCGAAGAACCUUACCUGGUCUUGACAUCCACAGAACUUAGCAGAGAUGCUUUGGUGCCUUCGGGAACUGUGAGACAGGUGCUGCAUGGCUGUCGUCAGCUCGUGUUGUGAAAUGUUGGGUUAAGUCCCGCAACGAGCGCAACCCUUAUCCUUUGUUGCCAGCGGUCCGGCCGGGAACUCAAAGGAGACUGCCAGUGAUAAACUGGAGGAAGGUGGGGAUGACGUCAAGUCAUCAUGGCCCUUACGACCAGGGCUACACACGUGCUACAAUGGCAUAUACAAAGAGAAGCGACCUCGCGAGAGCAAGCGGACCUCAUAAAGUAUGUCGUAGUCCGGAUUGGAGUCUGCAACUCGACUCCAUGAAGUCGGAAUCGCUAGUAAUCGUAGAUCAGAAUGCUACGGUGAAUACGUUCCCGGGCCUUGUACACACCGCCCGUCACACCAUGGGAGUGGGUUGCAAAAGAAGUAGGUAGCUUAACCUUCGGGAGGGCGC